GACAGAGGUCCCGAGCGUUAGGCGGAAUCACUGGGCUUAAAGCGUGUGUAGGCGGAUCGUUAAGUGCCUUGUGAAAUCCCAUGGCUUAACCAUGGAACUGCUUGGCAUACUGGCGGUCUUGAGCCACUUAGGGGCAACCGGAACAAAUGGUGGAGCGGUGAAAUGCGUAGAUAUCAUUUGGAACGCCAAUGGUGAAAACAGGUUGCUGGGAGUGUGCUGACGCUGAGACACGAAAGCCAGGGGAGCGAGCGGG
rnacentral:rRNA from 1 species